UGGGGGAUAUUGCGCAAUGGGCGAAAGCCUGACGCAGCGACGCCGCGUGGGUGAUGAAGGCCUUCGGGUCGUAAAGCCCUGUCGAGGGGGAAGAACAAGCCGUGGUCGAAUAGGCUGCGGCUCUGACGGUACCCCUAAAGGAAGCACCGGCUAACUCCGUGCCAGCAGCCGCGGUAAUACGGAGGGUGCGAGCGUUGUUCGGAAUCAUUGGGCGUAAAGGGCGCGUAGGCGGUCUUUUAAGUCAAAUUUGAAAGCCCUCGGCCUUAACCGAGGAAGUGCAUUUGAUACUAAAAGACUUGAGUAUGGGAGAGGGAAGCGGAAUUCCUGGUGUAGCGGUGAAAUGCGUAGAUAUCAGGAGGAACGCCGGUGGCGAAGGCGGCUUCCUGGACCAAUACUGACGCUGAGGCGCGAAGGCGUGGGGAGCAAACAGGAUUAGAUACCCUGGUAGUCCACGCAGUAAACUGUGAACACUAGGUGUAGCGGGUAUUGACCCCUGCUGUGCCGAAGCUAACGCAUUAAGUGUUCCGCCUGGGAAGUACGGCCGCAAGGUUA
rnacentral:rRNA from 1 species